rnacentral:rRNA from 1 species
AUGGAUCUCUCAGCCGUCCACGCCGCGCUCUCCGCCAAGUCCUACUCCGCCAUCGCCGGCCUCUGCGACGACCUCCUCCUCCAGGUUGCGUCCCGGGGCGUCGCCACCGACGACUGGCCUUACGCUGUUCAUCUCCUCGCCCAUCUCUACCUCAACGACCAGAACAGCGCGAGGUUUUUGUGGAAAACGGUGCCGCAGGAGGUGAAGGACGCUCAUCCGGAGCUGGGCGCCAUCUGGAAGAUUGGCCAGUGCCUCUGGAACCGUGACUACGCUGGUAUCUAUACUUCCGCACAGGGGUUCGAGUGGGGGCCUGAAAUCGCGGAUUUUGUGUCCGCCUUCCUAGAAAGCUACAGAAAGAGGAUAUUUGAGCUGUUGACUUCUGCAUAUACCACAAUCAGCAUUGCAGAUGUGGCUCACUUCAUGGGGAUGAGCGAGGAGGAUGCUACUAACUAUGCCGUGCAAAACGGUUGGAGUCUGGAUGUGGCAACCAAGAUGCUUACUGUCAGAAAACAGAAGCCCCAGACGAACCAGAAGCUUGAUCCGAACAAACUACAGCGUUUGACUGAAUGUGUUUUCCACCUGGAGCACUGA